rnacentral:rRNA from 1 species
AGAGUUUGAUUAUGGCUCAGGAUGAACGCUAGCGACAGGCUUAACACAUGCAAGUCGAGGGGCAUCAUGAGGUAGCAAUACCUUGAUGGCGACCGGCGCACGGGUGAGUAACGCGUAUGCAACCUGCCUGAUACCGGGGUAUAGCCCAUGGAAACGUGGAUUAACACCCCAUAGUACUUUUAUCCUGCAUGGGAUGUGAGUUAAAUGUUUAAGGUAUCGGAUGGGCAUGCGUCCUAUUAGUUAGUUGGCGGGGUAACAGCCCACCGAGACGAUGAUAGGUAGGGGUUCUGAGAGGAAGGUCCCCCACAUUGGAACUGAGACACGGUCCAA